CUAACAAGAGAGAUAUAGUGAGAAGGGUAGCAUUUCCUUAAACUACACUUGGUUUUUAGGAGGAAGAGGACAGAUACUUGUAUUUUUUUUCGGCAGCAAGACAAUUUAUUUAAUUUGUCCACUUAAAAUUGUAUUAGUUAUUAGUUAAGGAAGGAUGAUCGGGAACAUGGCUCACCUCACUCUUGCAUUUGGCCUUUUUUGUAUAUAGCCCUUUCAAUUACUCUCUUCACUCUGUGUUUCCCUCUCCUCCCCUCCCCUCGCAUCUAUAUUUUCGUUGAUGAUUUUGUUGCUAACAAUUUGCUUUCUUAUAUUUGUAGGUAAUAUCGUCUCAUUUAUGGUAUUUCUUGCACAAAUAUAAAUGUCUGUCUUUGAUGUUUUUUUCUAAUAUGUUCUUAACCUCUACUCCCCUUCCUUCUAUACUACAAGCUCUCCAUUAAUUAAUUUUCAACAAAAAUGCAGACCAACAUUUUGCGGUGAUAAGAUGAAUGAAGCAUAUCUAUUUGUUAGAUACGAACACUUUGCAUUCUAUUCCAUUUCCCCCUUUAUGAAAAAUUGACGGAACAAAAAUAAAUUCAAUUUUACCUUGAAGAAUAUGAUUUUUAAUGAAGUGAUACCGCAAUUCAAUGUGCUUUGUCUUGGAGUGCUGAUUGUGCGAAUUGUAAUGGCACCCUCGGAAUCACAGUAUCCAAUGUGAAGAAUUCUGUAGCUUUAAUCCAUGAGUUGCGUUUUCAGCUAUAGGACUUGUCAACAGCAACUGGUUGCCGCAAUGUAUUAUGCCUUUGAAGUGGAGAGUGUUAUAAAGUUUUGUUUUCUUGAAGACCAACUCACUAAUGUCCCACCAAGGAAUUGGUAUCCUCCUGAAGUGCCUUUGCGGUCCAUCCUGCAUCCUGCAUGGCCGGAGUCUAUAAAGGCUUGUUGACUGAAUUCGUUUCCUAAAGGGAACCAAAGACUCAAAGCUUUGCUCCCUUUAAGGUAUCUAAAAAUCUGUUUGAUUGCAGUCAGAUGAGAUACUUUGGGAUCAACCUGGUAUGUGGCACAUAAACCCGUUCUGAAGACAAUAUCCGACCUACUUGCCGUCAAGUACAAUAGAGAACCAGUCAUUCCUCGGUAUACCUUUUGAUCAACUGACUCUCCGGUGGGAUCCAAUGUGAUUUUUUAACCAAAUGUCAUAGGGACCUUUUCCGAAGAACAAUUAUCCAUUGAAUAUUUCUUUAACAAUUUCGUAGUAUACUUUUCUUAAUGAAUGAAGAUUCGUUGUGGAAAUUGCUUGAUUUGAAGACCAAGAAAGAAAUUAAUCUAUCUAUUCAUGUGCAUUUGGAAUGUGCUUAUCAUGAUCUUUGCAAAGUCAUCUACCAUAACCUGAUAAGUUAAGUCGUAAACGAUGUCAUUCAUAUAGAUUUUUACAAGAAUUAGAUGUUGUCACUUGAAUGUCAAAAGAGGGUAGGAUCGAUAACCCAAUGCUUGUAUCCAAACUCAAUUAGAAGAAUAGAAAGAGUUUCAUACCAA